GCUUGUCUCAAAGAUUAAGCCAUGCAUGUCUAAGUAUAAAUAUCUAUACUGUGAAACUGCGUAUGGCUCAUUAAAUCAGUUAUAGUUUAUUUGAUGAUACCCCACUACAUGGAUAACCGUAGUAAUUCUAGAGCUAAUACAUGCGUCAAAUCCCGACUUUUUGGAAGGGAUGUAUUUAUUAGAUACAAAACCAAUGCGGGUUCUGCUCGCCAUUGUGUUGAAUCAUAGUAACUUAUCGAACGCCAUAGCCUUGUGCUGGGCGUAGAUCAUUCAAAUUUCUGCCCUAUCAGCUUUCGACGGUAGUGUAGUGGACUACCGUGGCGUUAACGGGUAACGGGGAAUUAGGGUUCGAUUCCGGAGAGGGAGCCUGAGAAACGGCUACCACAUCCAAGGAAGGCAGCAGG
rnacentral:rRNA from 1 species